rnacentral:rRNA from 1 species
AUUGAACGCUGGCGGCAUGCUUUACACAUGCAAGUCGAACGGUAACAGGUUAAGCUGACGAGUGGCGAACGGGUGAGUAAUGCAUCGGAACGUGCCCGAUCGUGGGGGAUAACGCAGCGAAAGCUGCGCUAAUACCGCAUACGAUCUGAGGAUGAAAGCGGGGGACCGUAAGGCCUCGCGCGAUCGGAGCGGCCGAUGUCAGAUUAGGUAGUUGGUGGGGUAAAGGCCCACCAAGCCGACGAUCUGUAGCUGGUCUGAGAGGACGACCAGCCCCACUGGGACUGAGACACGGCCCAGACUCCUAGGGGAGGCAGGAGUGGGGCAUUUUGUACAAUGGGCGAAAGCCUGAUCCAGCAAUGCCGCGUGCAGGAAGAAGGCCUUCGGGUUGUAAACUGCUUUUGUACGGAGCGAAAAGGUCCUUUCUAAUACAAGGGGCUCAUGACGGUACCGUAAGAAUAAGCACCGGCUAACUACGUGCCAGCCGCCGCCGUAA